AUUGAACGCUGGCGGAAUGCUUUACACAAGCAAGUCGAACGGCAGCACGGACUUCGGUCUGGUGGCGAGUGGCGAACGGGUGAGUAAUACACCGGAACGUGCCCAAUCGUGGGGGAUAACGUAGCGAAAGCUACGCUAAUACCGCAUACGAUCUAGGGAUGAAAGCGGGGGAUCGCAAGACCUGGCGCGAAUGGAGCGGCCGAUGGCAGAUUAGGUAAUUGGUGGGAUAAAAGCUUACCAAGCCGACGAUCUGUAGCUGGUCUGAGAGGACGAUCAGCCACACUGGGACUGAGACACGGCCCAGACUCCUACGGGAGGCAGCAGUGGGGAAUUUUGGACAAUGGGCGCAAGCCUGAUCCAGCAAUGCCGCGUGCAGGAUGAAGGCCUUCGGGUUGUAAACUGCUUUUGUACGGAACGAAAAGCCCUGGGUUAAUACCCUGGGGUCAUGACGGUACCGUAAGAAUAAGCACCGGCUAACUACGUGCCAGCCGCCGCAGUAA
rnacentral:rRNA from 1 species